AUGGGAUAUAUCAAUAACCCAUUUUAGAGAAAAGGAGAUGAUAAAUCCCAUUUUUGCAAUGUAAUGAAUCAAUCACAGACUUCUGUAUGGAUUCUUCUCAGUUCUUCCCAAGAAAGCCUGAAACCUGAAGUGCAGCAGGAGCAGUGGCACCUUUAGAGAGUUUUUCAUCGUACUUGCACCAUUGCUACUCAUGAGCCCUAUCUGAAUCCAGGUCCUGCCAAACUGGGUAAGAACUCCAUAAAGAGAGCAUCGCACAGCAAGAGGUGCCUAUUGAACAUCAGCUUUCAAGAAGCCCUGGAGAUCCAUUGGCCUUAGUGUGGGUGCCUGUGUGUCAUCCGUAGCCCAAGGAAACUACAGAAGGAUGCAAUUGUCACUGCGGUUGGAAGCCAAUCAACGCGUUGUGAGUGGGAACCUGCUGGUACUUUCCAAUGGUCCUUGAUUAAAAAGGAAGCUCUUGGCUAUCUUCAAGCAGCAGGAGAGGAAACAGCGCGGCGAAGAUACUCAGAUGCAGUGGAAUUCAAGCAUGAAACUAAACAGCUUCUCAGAUAUUAUCUAUUCAGCCAUCUGCUUGACAGACAAUGGAUAACCUUCCAGAUUCAUGGAGCUGCAUCUGCCUUUUAAUCCUGGUAAAAAAGGGAAAAGGUUACAUUGUGAUAUCAUCAGGAGCAAUAUUGGACAACCUAGGACCUCCUACGUUUGGCCUAUGACUGUAAGUAACCAUUAUUUGUAUCACUGCUAUCAU
rnacentral:lncRNA from 1 species